CAGCCGCCGCGGUAAUACCGGCGGCCCGAGUGGCGGUCACUAUUAUUGGGCUUAAAGCGUCCGUAGCCGGGUUGGGAAGGCCUCCGGGAAAUCUUGCCGCUUAACGGUCAGAAUGCCGGAGGAUACUCCCAGCCUAGGGAGCGGGAGAGGCCGAGGGUUUUCCCGGAGUAGGGGUGAAAUCCUAUAAUCCCGGGAGGACCACCUGUGGCGAAGGCGCUCGGCUGGAACGCGUCCGACGGUGAGGGACGAAGGCCAGGGGAGCAAACCGGAUUAGAUACCCGGGUAGUCCUGGCUGUAAACGAUGCGGACUUUGUGUCGGACAAGCUAUGAGCUUGUCCGGUGCCGGAGGGAAACCGUUAAGUCCGCCGCCUGGGGAGUACGGCCGCAAGGCUGAAACUUAAAGGAAUUGGCGGG
rnacentral:rRNA from 1 species